ACAAUGUUAGCCCAGGUCCAUGGGCAAUGAAAUGCCUGCAGUUUCCUGAUCUUGAGCCUGCCAAAACUUGAACCUCUCUGCCUUACUUUAAGGCUCUGGAGGCAUCUGCAGUUCUGCAGUGGUGGCAUGUGGUCACAACAAUACCAGUCUCAGCAAUGUCUUCCUAUGCAUCUUCUUCCUGGUUGUGGAAGCUAUAAAGCUUUCUUCCAAGAUCCCAAGAAGAUCCUGGAAGUUGUGGCUACCAUUAACUCACAUUAGAGACUAGUAAAAUUCAGCCUUGCUUUCAAAAUGCUGCUGGGGAGAUGUGUGAUUUCUGUAACAGCUCCAGGCACCUGUCCACCACAUGGGGAGGUCAAGAUUAACCUGGGUGGUCUUGAGCCAAAUUCUCUCUGCUUACAAAUGCUGCAGCUUCAGCUUGUUGUGGUGCAUUUGGCCCUCGUGAUUACCCUGCUGCAGCGGCACUCCAGCUCGAUGCUCCUAGCAGAGGCAGCUCCAGCGCCUUUGGAGCCUUCUGCUGCUCUGGGCAUGGAAGCACACCCAACUGCCAGUGAAGAGAAGGCAGCCUCCAACCUGGCAGCCAAACUGUUCCUGCUUGAUGAGCUGGUGUCUCUGGAGAAUGAAGUGACUGAGACCAAGAAGAAAAGAAGUUUCCCAGGAUUUGGCUCCCCAAUCGACAGAAUUUCUGCAACCUCUGUGGAUACUAAAGGCAAACAGAGGAAAGUGGUGGAGCUGCCUAAGAGACGGUUUGGGAUUCCUCUCGACCGGAUCGGAGUGAGCCGUCUUGGCAACACCAAGGGUUAGCAGUUUCUGCAAGUAAGCCAGAGUACUCCAGGUGUGGGCAUGCAUGGCACGGAGAGCCCCACCUGCUCUGUCACACGGAGGUGCUUCUGUUCUGAAUGAUUGAUGCUGUACUGGAAACAUCACAGAAAUGCGGAAGAUGCACCAGAGCAUGUCUUGUCAUUGACUAAUGAUUCAACACUCAAGGAAAUGACCUCCUGCAAAAUCUAUUUCACAUUGCAUUUUACAAACAUUGCAUUUACAGAUAGUAACAAAUUCAGUUCAUCAGGUCAGAAUGCUCUCACAGUUGUGCACAGUGCCACUGAUAGGAGGAAACAAAAAAUAUGUAUAUAGUUUGAUUGCAUGGCAUUUCUCUCUUAAACCUGCAGAAGUUCAUUUUCCUAGCAAGGACUGUUAGAAUUUUUUGAUUUAAAAUAAAACUUUCAAAGAAGCCAACAGUAGUCCAUGAGAAGCAGACAGUUUGCUUUGCACGUUUCUUUAAAGAGGGUGUUUGUCUGGUAGGUGAAGGGAGAAUUUAACAGUUAACGGGACAAACCCAGGUUUUAUUUGAACUGCUAUUUGGGAAAAAAACAUCUACUGAUAUCAUAGGAGUUAGUCUGAAUAAGAAAAAUGAAAAUACCUUAGGAUUUGUACUGAUGCUUUUAACAGUCUUUCUCAUAUCUCUGCACCAAAUUUAGAAAUGUUUUCAUUGUAUGGCAUAUCUUGAAAUGUGGUGAGACUUUUAGUUUCCUCCUCUAAGCUGAUGAAUACAUUUCAGUCCUCCCUAUGCAUAACAUAGGAUAGCGUCCAAAUAUGAAGUCAUCUACUUCCUAAGCCAUCUGCAUCGUAUGCCUUAUUUUAGCCUCUUGAUGCAUGCAUGGGGCAUAAUCACAUGUCCAACUGUAAAAGUUCAAGCAUUUCUUAGUCUGAUAACAUGUAAACGUAUGCCUGUCCUCUCCAUUUCAAUUCAGAGUAAAACAGGUAAUUUUAAAUCCUGCUUCAUUGCUUUUCACUUUUUUCCAGCUUAUAAAAUAUCGCUGAAAAAAGCUGUUUGCUGACAUCUCAGUGCUCAGAUUCCUAGCUGAUCUUUUCUAAACCUCACAUGCUCCUUGCUGGACUAUGAUCCAUGUCAGCUAAAUGCCUUGGAUUGCUAUUCUUGGGUAUAAAUCAUCCUUAGAAUUGCAAAAGAUGAUCCACUGAGAAAGGAUUAUAUAGGACUAGGAAAACAAAAUACAUCUUGCCACAUAUUUACCUUGUGUUAGGCGGAGGGUUGCAGUAAGGCAAGAGAUAGAAGUUAAGUGUGUAUUUCCUGAUCUUAUGUGAGGCACAAAGAAACUAGCAAUCAGCUAGCAAGACGGGGAAAAAUACAGUCAGCUUCUCAGUCAGCUGUAGGAAAGGACUUGGGAAGUCAAUGCAUCCUUGAGAUUAAAGCUAUUCAGAGGAUUAGCACCUUACAGCAAUUGCCCCAGUAUAGGCCGUAGUGGGAGGAGAGGUCCCCAUUCAUAAGGGCAGGCAGCAUCAAGUACAUGUCCCCUAGUCCCAGUGCUCAUUUUCUACCUUUAAGCUUGCAGAUGAAGGGUUUGGGACUGAGUGGCUGACCUGACACAAGAUUUUCUGUCCAUGAUAGAAAAGAAUCCGCAAAUGCAAUCCCAGACAGUCUCAGCCCCUGUCCUCUGGAGCAUGCUGCAACCACCUAUCCUGAGUGUGCCCUGGGGUUUAGUAAACAGUUAUCUUAUUGCACUGAGCUCACCCAGACAGUCUGCAGAUAAUCUGAUUGUGAUACAGCCAUAUGUACGGGGUAUGGGCAGAUUAGGGAAGUCGUGUGUUCCUGAC